UACACAAAGGCACGAUGUGUUGCACCUGCUGGUCGCAAAAACACUGUGCUUUUGCCUAUAUGUGAUUGUAGUUCUCAACCAAUCCUUCGUUUGGGAGAGACUUACAGCAUGGCCAGGACAUGGAGACCAUCAGGUUUAACUCUGCCUCCCCUGAGAAACCGUCCCUUCCUCACACACUUUCCAAGUUUCAUCUCCUUGCCGUUACCUCGGG